AAUUGAAUCACCACGCCAAAGCAGUGGCUCGUUUUAAAGAGAACUGUUGAAGUAUUGAAAUGAAAUGAACACAAAUAAGGAUACAAAAAGUUCAUACUAUAUCUAACUUCAGAAUAGAGGCAUAACAUAUUGAUUGACAAGAUUCACUGUCUACACUCUUAACCCAUAGAGAAUGUGUUCGCAGAACUAAUAUAACUGUGUUAAGGUGGAGAAUGACUUGGAUUAACCCCUGAAAAUAGUUCACCUCUCUAUUUACCAACAAAGGUAUCACUCACUAAUGCUUCAACCAUAGCUUCCUCUUAUCAUCUUAGUCCUUGUACAUCCCGAGGAGAAUACUUAUUCCUUUGACAGCUCUCAAUCCAAUUAUGAAUCUGACACUAAAUCCUUAUGUUGUAGUGUUCCCCAUGUAGAUAGUUAAGUAGUUGACUUGACUUGAUUUUUCUUAGGAGUCCAAGACUCGGAGGGUUUUGGCCGUGUUGAUCACAAAUUCGCACAAUUCCUUGUGGGUUAUCAAGGCAAAGUGAUAUACAGCCCUUAAAAUACUACGAUGCAGAAAACCAACGAUGCAAAAAAAGACUAAUAGAUGACAGUGCAGGAGCUGAUCUCAAACUUAAGACAUGCAGAAACUUGUCAAAUCCACAGUAAAAAUAAUGGAAACCUUGAGUUUUGUUCUUUCCUGUUCACUUUUUUUUGGGGAUUAGAGGGAGGUCGGAAUGACGUUAGAGUGAGUCAGCAUGUCACACAAAGACUAAAGGCUACAUGAAUUAUUGAUAGGGAAAGGCACCACAAUACAUGUCAUUAUAUUGGAAAGGGCAAGUCCCCCAUACUAAUUCAUUGUGUCACCAUAGAGACAUCCCAAAAGUUAACAAAAGCUUAACCGCAAAAGCUUAGAACACCAAAUAUAGCCACGGGAGAGAAAAGAAGAUCCCAAUACUAGGAGGAAGAAUAUAACAUUCUCAUUUCUUUCCGCUCUUUUUCAGGCCAGCACCACCGAUGGAGCCUUUCGCAGCCUUUGCCUUGAGCUCCUUUAGUGCCUGGAAAAUCACAAAAAUAGAGAGUUAAUUGAAUCAGAAUGAUGGGUGUAUCCACAGCCUGCAAGCACUGGAAGAAUGAGUUACCUUUUCCUCUUCCUUCUUCUUUGCAAGAAAAGCCUUGUCAGUCUGCAGAUAAUCAAACACGUACAAGUUAGAGCAGCAACCAUCACAUGUAACCUCAUAAACCAGAGACAAAUACUUACUACAAUGGAUACCAAAUUCUGAGCAGGAAACAUGACCAAUCAUCACAAAUGCUUCAUUACUAGUCACCUGCUAACACUUCUUCAUAGCAGAGAUAGCAAAUAUUAUCCUGACUUUCUGCAGAUAAUCAAACACGUACAAAUUAGAGCAGCAAACAUCACAUGUAAGCUCAUAAACCAGAGACAACUACUUACUACAAUGGAUACCAAAUUCUGAGCAGGGAACAUGACCAAUAAUAACAAACGCUUCAUUGUUAGUCACCUGCUAACACUUCUUCAUAGCAGAGAUAGCAAAUAUUAUCCUGACUAGUAGAGAAUCUCUGAAGGUGACCAUCUAGAUAUAUACUUUUUAAAACAGCCAAAUACUUGCAUAACAAUCUUCACUAGCGUCACUGACCUAGAUAUGUCAAUGGAAAGAAUAUGGAAUAGGGGUAGAAAAACCAUAGAGGACGUUAUUAACACUGCCCUGUGCCCAUAUCAACUACGACUCAACUUGAGACCAGUUGGGUCAACUAUAUGAAUCUUUUAAUUAUUUCCACCAAACAAAGAGAAAUUCUUUCAUUAUUCCACUCACCUUAUUCCUAGUGUUAUCAAAGGCGAAAAAACGCAAAAAAACUCAGGGCUCUUAAACUCAAAGCGCAAAUAAAGUAUGGCUUUAAUAAAAAAUAGGCGCAACUAGAGAAAAAGUAAAAAUAUAUAUGUAGUUCAAGAAUUUUAAUUAUAAGCAUGAAUAACAAAUAUAUGGACAAAAAAAUUGGAAAAGAUUUACAAUACAGUGAAAAAUCAAUUGUUUAAUAUCGUCUUUUCAUGAUUACACAUCAGUAAGGAGUAGCAUGCCUUUGAGCCCUGAUGAGACACUAAAACGCCAUAAAGCGAGGCAAAGUGCUCAACAUAUUUUGAGCCUCACUUUAAGGCUUACUCUCGGCCGCCCAAGAGGACUGGCUAUCUUUCUCUUUAUACGCACGCUUUAAGUGCGCCUUUGAUUCUUUGACAAAACACUGCUUACCCUACACCCACAUCAACAAAACUAAUGUUGUACCCUCUCUGUAACACUUGCAUCCCUACCGAGAAAACAACAAAACUCACACGAACUCCCCAUAAUAUGCUUCUUUUUUUCCUUUGUUUCUUCAAUGUUCUCCCUUUCCUCCAUAAAUCUCUUUUCCAUUUCAAAGUGCUUCCAGAAACAACUAAGAACUUUUCUAUGCAUCUACAAAAUAGUCAUAUGACACUAACAGGCAUGUUUUCUGCAUGUAGACUGGACGCCUAACCCAACCUCCGCUUUGUUAUCUAUAGGCCUGAGAUAUAAGUAAAACCUUAAAUUCAAAGACCAUAGCUUACACAUAUAUCUUGCUAAAUUGCCCAGCGGUAUCUUAGUGCUGGUUUUUGCCAUCAAUGCUAUAAUUCUGGUCGCUUAGCCCCCAUAUCAAUCAGCUAUGUUUCAAUCCUUUGUUCCAAUUCAAAGAAUGCAUCCCUCAUAAGUACAGACUAUAUAUCUACCCGAAUAUGAGAGUUCAAAUCACUAUUACCUCUAUUUGAAUCAAAGUUUCUCAACACAAAUUCAAGACAUAAAAUAAACAAUAUAUUGGACAAACGGAUUGUAGUCAAAACACGAGAUCUGCAAAAUAAGUGACAGGAUGGACGCAGAAAAUAAAUAAAAAAUCUUCCACUAAAUUACCUCGUCGUACUCCUUCUUUUCACUCUUUGGUGCCUUCAAAGGCUUUGCCUUUCCACCUGUUCCACAAAAAGAAAAAUCAGUGAGAAAAUCAAUUCAGUUCUUAACCUUUCUUCGACAAAAUCAAUUAACCAACCACACCUCAACCCAAAUUAACUGGGUCAGAUAUAUGUCAAAAAUAAUCAAAAAUCAAAUCUUUGAAAACCAGUAAUUAUAGAAAAGGCGAUUAAAAGUUAAAAAAGAGAAGAAAAAGGAGAUUAAGGAGUGUACCUUGCUUAGAAGACAUGGUUGAUUUUCUAGGGUUGCCUUUCUUCGACAAAAUCAAUCAACCAACCACACCUCAACCCCAAAUUAACUGGGUCAGAUAUAUGUCAAAAAUAAUCAAAAAUCAAAUCUUUGACAACCAAUAAUUAUAGAAAAGGCGAUUAAAAGUUAAAAAAGAGAAGACAAAGGAGAUUAAGGAGUGUACCUUGCUUAGAAGACAUGGUUGAUUUUCUAGGGUUAAGAGUUUGGAUCUGAUUAUCGGUUAAUUAGAGAAUGGAAAUACCUUCUCCUAACCCACACAGCUCUGUUGUAAAGUGGCGUUGGAAUUUUCUGGACAGUCGCAUA
rnacentral:lncRNA from 1 species